GAUGAACGCUGGCGGCGUGCCUAAUACAUGCAAGUCGAGCGAACGGACGAGAAGCUUGCUUCUCUGAUGUUAGCGGCGGACGGGUGAGAAACACGUGGAUAACCUACCUAUAAGACUGGGAUAACUUCGGGAAACCGGAGCUAAUACCGGAUAAUAUUUUGAACCGCAUGGUUCAAGAGUGAAAGACGGUCUUGCUGUCACUUAUAGAUGGAUCCGCGCUGCAUUAGCUAGUUGGUAAGGUAACGGCUUACCAAGGCAACGAUGCAUAGCCGACCUGAGAGGGUGAUCGGCCACACUGGAACUGAGACACGGUCCAGACUCCUACGGGAGGCAGCAGUAGGGAAUCUUCCGCAAUGGGCGAAAGCCUGACGGAGCAACGCCGCGUGAGUGAUGAAGGUCUUCGGAUCGUAAAACUCUGUUAUUAGGGAAGAACAUAUGUGUAAGUAACUGUGCACAUCUUGACGGUACCUAAUCAGAAAGCCACGGCUAACUACGUG
rnacentral:rRNA from 1 species